rnacentral:rRNA from 1 species
GACGGAGGGGGCUAGCGUUGUUCGGAAUUGCUGGGCGUAAAGAGCGUGUAGGUGGUUUAACAAGUUGGGAGUGAAAGCCCGGGGCUUAACCUCGGAAUUGCUUUCAAAACUGUUAGGCUAGAGUGUAGUAGGGGAUGAUGGAAUUCCUAGUGUAGAGGUGAAAUUCUUAGAGAUUAGGAGGAACACCGGUGGCGAAAGCGGUCAUCUGGGCUACAACUGACACUGAGACGCGAAAGCGUGGGGAGCAAACAGG